ACCUGACGGAGCAAUACCGCGUGAGGGAUGACAGCCUUUGGGUUGUAAACCUCUUUUAUCAAGGAGGAAGUUCUGACGUGUACUUGAUGAAUAAGCAUCGGCUAACUCCGUGCCAGCAGCCGCGGUAAGACGGAGGAUGCAAGUGUUAUCCGGAAUCACUGGGCGUAAAGCGUCUGUAGGUGGUUUAAAAAGUCUGCUGUUAAAAAUUGAAGCUUAACUUCAAAGAUGCCGUAGAAACUUUUAAACUUGAGUAUGGUAGGGGUAGAGGGAAUUUCCAGUGGAGCGGUGAAAUGCGUAGAUCUUGGAAAGACCACCAAUGGCGAAGGCACUCUACUGGGCCAUUACUGACACUGAGAGACGAAAGCUAGGGGAGCAAAUGGGAUUAGAUACCCCAGUAGUCCUAGCUGUAAACGAUGGAUACUAGAUGUUGUGUGUAUUGACCCAUGCAGUGUCGUAGCUAACGCGUUAAGUAUCCCGCCUGGGAAGUAUGCUCGCAAGAGUG
rnacentral:rRNA from 1 species